UAAUACGGAGGGUGCAAGCGUUGUUCGGAAUUAUUGGGCGUAAAGGGCGUGUAGGUGGCUUACCAAGUCUGGUGUGAAAUCCCACGGCUCAACCGUGGAACUGCAUUGGAAACUGGUGAGCUCGAGUAUUGGAGGGGGUCGCGGAAUUCCCGGUGUAGAGGUGAAAUUCGUAGAUAUCGGGAGGAACACCAGUGGCGAAGGCGGCGACCUGGCCAUUUACUGACACUGAGACGCGAAAGCGUGGGGAGCAAACAGG
rnacentral:rRNA from 1 species